UACAGAGGGUGCAAGCGUUAAUCGGAAUUACUGGGCGUAAAGGGCGCGUAGGCGGCCCGCUAAGUCGAACGUGAAAUCCCCGAGCUCAACUCGGGAACUGCGUCCGAUACUGGUGGGCUUGAAUCCGGGAGAGGGAUGCGGAAUUCCAGGUGUAGCGGUGAAAUGCGUAGAUAUCUGGAGGAACACCGGUGGCGAAGGCGGCAUCCUGGACCGGCAUUGACGCUGAGGCGCGAAAGCUAGGGGAGCAAACGGG
rnacentral:rRNA from 1 species